AGCAGCCGCGGUAAUUCCAGCUCCAAUAGCGUAUAUUAAAGUUGUUGCAGUUAAAAAGCUCGUAGUUGAAUUUCGGGAUCAAUUAAUUGGUCGUGCCUCUGGUACGUACUGAUUUUAUUGGUUUCUCCCUUCUGACGAACCAUGAUGUCAUUAAUUUGGUGUCGUGAAGAAUCAGGACUGUUACUUUGAAAAAUUAGAGUGUUUAAAGCAAGCUAACGCUUGAAUACAUUAGCAUGGAAUAAUGAAAUAGGACGUUUGAUCCUAUUUUGUUGGUUUCUAGGAUCGACGUAAUGAUUAAUAGGGAUAGUUGGGGGCAUUAGUAUUCAAUUGUCAGAGGUGAAAUUCUUGGAUUUAUUGAAGACUAACUACUGCGAAAGCAUUUGCCAAGGAUGUUUUCAUUAAUCAAGAACGAAAGUUAGGGGAUCGAAGACGAUCAGAUACCGUCGUAGUCUUAACCAUAAACUAUGCCGACUAGGGAUCGGGAUGAUGUUAAUUUUUAAUGACUCAUUCGG
rnacentral:rRNA from 1 species